GAUGAACGCUGGCGGCGUGCCUAAUACAUGCAAGUCGAGCGAACAGACGAGGAGCUUGCCCCUCUGACGUUAGCGGCGGACGGGUGAGUAACACGUGGAUAACCUACCUAUAAGACUGGGAUAACUUCGGGAAACCGGAGCUAAUACCGGAUAAUAUAUUGAACCGCAUGGUUCAAUAGUGAAAGACGGUUUUGCUGUCACUUAUAGAUGUAUCCGCGCCGCAUUAGCUAGUUGGUAAGGUAACGGCUUACCAAGGCAACGAUGCGUAGCCGACCUGAGAGGGUGAUCGGCCACACUGGAACUGAGACACGGUCCAGACUCCUACGGGAGGCAGCAGUAGGGAAUCUUCCGCAAUGGGCGAAAGCCUGACGGAGCAACGCCGCGUGAGUGAUGAAGGUCUUCGGAUCGUAAAACUCUGUUAUUAGGGAAGAACAAAUGUGUAAGUAACUAUGCACGUCUUGACGGUACCUAAUCAGAAAGCCACGGCUAACUACGUG
rnacentral:rRNA from 1 species